rfam:Laccaria bicolor S238N-H82 LACBIscaffold_8 genomic scaffold, whole genome shotgun sequence.
UUACCACUCUGGCCUUUUGGCUUAGAUCAAGUGUAGUAUCUGUUCUUAAUAGUUUAACCACUAUUAUGGAGGCACCGCCUCCAUUCUUGGUUAUCUAAUUUUUGCCGCCCCAGUUCUUUGGGCUCUGCUUGCACCCCUUGGACGCGAUGACCUUGCUGCUGCACUACUGGCUUGUGUCGUCGGGGGAUC